UUCACUUCCUGCUCACGAAGAGCCAGCCAUCCAGGCGUGGAGGUCUGGUUCUUUAACCCUAACCGCGUGAACUUGGCCACUCCGAUAUGUAUAUCAAGCAGUUUUUUUGGUCCAGCUUUCUGCGGAUUUGGAGUUUGGCAUAAGAAGUUAAAAACAGCUAACCGUGAUAGUUUUUUCGGAGGUGAAAAUUUCGCCGUGCGAAUUUAAAGAUGGCUGACACUGCAGCGCCUUUCUACUCUCGCCAACCGCUGAGCUACCCUGAUCGCACACUUUGAUGUGCAUGUCAGUGGUAAAGGGUUUGCCCUGAUGCUCGCUGUUGUGUGGAUUAGAUAAGCAUGGCUGUAGUGUUCAAGCUGUCGGCACGCACAUCAAAUAUGAGAUCGUUGCCACCUCCCGUUACGAAGUUAUGUAAUCGGGGACCAGCUUCGUCUCAAACAAAC
rnacentral:telomerase_RNA from 1 species